AAAUCCUGAAAGCUUGAAACACUGAAAGCAGACAGUUCAUCAUCAUCAUCAUCAUCAUCCUCUUCCUCAGAACUUUACCGUUCUGACUGGAGCCAGAUCAGGGUUUGAUCUACAGAUGAAGCGCUUUGGUGAACGAACUUCUGAAGCCUGAUUUAGUGGCCGAGCCGAGCCGAACCAGACGGUUAUGGAGGUGAAUGGGACAGACUCACUGAUGACUGUUUCUGCAGGAUCAAGCAGACAGGUUGGGAAGGACACAGAGAGCUGGCUCAUUUGAGUUUAACCAUGUUCAGAGAUGAUGGUGUUGAAAUCUACAAAUAGGAUCCUUGCAUAAGAGCUUUGCAUUAUCAGCAAGCAGCAAUAUGUGGAGUCCAAACAGAACAGAAAGAGGAGGAACGGCACAGCUCCCUGGAAAACUCUGCUCAAGUGCACGGAGG